rnacentral:rRNA from 1 species
UGGAUGAUGUGGUUUAAUUCGAUGCAACGCGAAAACCUUACCACCUUUGACAUGUACGGAACUCGCCAGAGAUGGCUUGGUGCUCGAAAGAGAACCGGAACACAGGUGCUGCAUGGCUGUCGUCAGCUCGUGUCGUGAGAUGUUGGGUUAAGUCCCGCAACGAGCGCAACCCUUGUCAUUAGUUGCCAUCAUUUGGUUGGGCACUCUAAUGAGACUGCCGGUGACAAACCGGAGGAAGGUGGGGAUGACGUCAAGUCCUCAUGGCCCUUAUGGGUAGGGCUUCACACGUCAUACAAUGGUCGGUACAGAGGGUUGCCAACCCGCGAGGGGGAGCUAAUCCCACAAAGCCGAUCGUAGUCCGGAUCGCAGUCUGCAACUCGACUGCGUGAAGUCGGAAUCGCUAGUAAUCGUGGAUCAGCAUGUCACGGUGAAUACGUUCCCGGGUCUU